CCUACGGGAGACAGCAGUGAGGAAUAUUGGUCAAUGGGCGGAAGCCUGAACCAGCCAAGUCGCGUGAGGGAAGAAGGCCCUACGGGUCGUAAACCUCUUUUGCCGGGGAGCAAGGGCCGGGACUCGUCCCGGCCUGGAGAGAACCCGGAAAAAAAGCAUCGGCUAACUCCGUGCCAGCGGCCGCGUUAAUACGGAGGAUGCGAGCGUGUUCCGGUUUUAUUGGGUUGAAAGGUUGCGUAGGCGGGCUUUUAAGUCAGCGGUAAAAAUUCGGGGCUCAACCCCGUCCGGCCGUUGAAACUGGCGGCCUUGAGUGGGCGAGAAGAAGGCGGAAUGCGUGGUGUAGCGGUGAAAUGCAUAGAUAUCACGCAGAACCCCGAUUGCGAAGGCAGCCUUCCGGCGCCCUACUGACGCUGAGGCACGAAAGUGCGGGUAUCGAACAGGAUUAGAUACCCCAGUAGUC
rnacentral:rRNA from 1 species